rnacentral:rRNA from 1 species
UACAGGGGGUGCAAGCGUUACUCGGAAUCACUGGGCGUAAAGAGCGCGUAGGCUGUCUAAUAAGUCUGAUGUGAAAGCCCUGAACUCAAUUCAGGAAGCGCAUCGGAUACUGUUAGGCUAGAGUGUCGGAGGGGUGAGCGGAAUUCCAGGUGUAGAGGUGAAAUUCGUAGAUAUCUGGAGGAACAACAGUGGCGAAGGCGGCUCACUGGACGACUACUGACGCUGAGGCGCGAAAGCAUGGGGAGCAAACAGG